CUGAACCAGCCAAGUAGCGUGAAGGAUGAAGGCUCUAUGGGUCGUAAACUUCUUUUAUAUAAGAAUAAAGUGCAGUAUGUAUACUGUUUUGUAUGUAUUAUAUGAAUAAGGAUCGGCUAACUCCGUGCCAGCAGCCGCGGUAAUACGGAGGAUCCGAGCGUUAUCCGGAUUUAUUGGGUUUAAAGGGAGCGUAGGUGGACUGGUAAGUCAGUUGUGAAAGUUUGCGG
rnacentral:rRNA from 2 species